rnacentral:rRNA from 1 species
GACGAACGCUGGCGGCGUGCCUAAUACAUGCAAGUCGAACGAGAGCGACCGGUGCUUGCUCUGGUCAAUCUAGUGGCGAACGGGUGAGUAACACGUGGGUAACCUGCCCAUCAGAGGGGGAUAACAUCCGGAAACGGAUGCUAAAACCGCAUAGGUCUUCGAGCCGCAUGGCUUGAAGGGGAAAAGAGGCCCAAGCUUCAGCUGUUGGUUGGACCCGCGGUGCAUUAGCUAGUUGGUGAGGUAACGGCUCACCAAGGCCGUGAUGCAUAGCCGACCUGAGAGGGUGAUCGGCCACAUUGGGACUGAGACACGGCCCAAACUCCUACGGGAGGCAGCAGUAGGGAAUCUUCCGCAAUGGACGCAAGUCUGACGGAGCAACGCCGCGUGAGUGAAGAAGGUCUUCGGAUCGUAAAACUCUGUUGUUAGGGAAGAACAAGUGUUAGAGUAACUGUUAGCGCCUUGACGGUAUCUAACCAGAAAGCCACGGCUAACUACGUG